CCUACGGGUGGCAGCAGUGAGGAAUAUUGGUCAAUGGACGCAAGUCUGAACCAGCCAUGCCGCGUGCAGGAAGACGGCUCUAUGAGUUGUAAACUUCUUUUAUACGAGGGUAAACGCAGAUACGCGUAUCUGUCUGAAAGUAUCUUACGAAUAAGGAUCGGCUAACUCCGUGCCAGCAGCCGCGGUAAUACGGAGGAUCCAAGCGUUAUCCGGAUUUAUUGGGUUUAAAGGGUGCGUAGGCGGUCGGUUAAGUUAGAGGUGAAAUCCCGAGGCUAAACUUCGGAAUUGCCUCUGAUACGGUUGGGCUAGAGAGUAGUGGGGGUAGGCGGAAUGGAUGGUGUAGCGGGGAA
rnacentral:rRNA from 1 species